CUCACUAAUAUUGACACUUAGAGAAGUGCUUCGCCCGCUCUAUCGACAAGGCUUUGGGAUUGUACUGCCAAGCAGGCACGAAGGACCUGGGACACACUACAAAACCCUUUCAAAAAGCAGAUUUCUGGUGAGCAGGUAAAUCACAGCAACCAGAAUGCAGCUGCGACAAUUGAAAGUGCUUUUCGUUCUGAUAGCAUACAGUUGGUCUGCAGUUUACGGACAAAUUGUGGCCCCAAAUACAACAGCAACUACAGUCCCAACUACAGCAUCAACCACGGCCCCAACUACAGCACCAACAGUUGCCCCAACUACAGUAGAAACCGUGACCCCAACUACAGCACCAACCACGGCCCCUACUGCAGCAGCAACCGUGGCCCCAA